GCUAAACGCGAAGAACCUUACCGGGGCUUGACAUCUUUCUGACCGCCUGGGAAACCAGGUCUUCUUCCUUCGGGAAGACGGAAAGACAGGUGGUGCAUGGUUGUCGUCAGCUCGUGUCGUGAGAUGUUGGGUUAAGUCCCACAACGAGCGCAACCCUUGUCCUUAUUUGCCAGCCUGUUUACAGGCGUACUUUAAGGAGACUGCCGUAGAUAAUACGGAGGAAGGUGGGGAUGACGUCAAAUCCUCAUGCCCCUUACGUCCCGGGCUACACACGUGCUACAAUGGUCUGUACAGACCGCUGCGAUCCCGUGAGGGGGAGCGAAUCGGAAAAAGCCGGUCUCAGUUCGGAUUGGGGUCUGCAACUCGACCCCAUGAAGUCGGAGUCGCUAGUAAUCGCAGAUCAGCAACGCUGCGGUGAAUACGUUCCCGGGUCUUGUACACACCG
rnacentral:rRNA from 1 species